rnacentral:lncRNA from 1 species
CGCAGGUGCAGCCCUAAAAAGACAAAAAAAAAAAAAAAAUACAGUAAUUAGAAGAAUUAAGUGGCUUAAUACAUGAAAAGAGCUUAGAACAGUGCCUGACAUAUAGUAUAUACUAUAUAAUCAUGUUGUUAGUAGAACUAAAUUGAAUGGCUUUUAUAUUCAUAUAAAUAGAAAAUUGUCAAAUAGUUGUUUCAGUUAGAAGGCAGAAAGGGCAAUGAUUCUCCAACACAUGGUUUCUGCAGCUACAGUUCAAGUCUUACUGUGAUAAAUGUGCAGUUUUUUAUCUGUGUGUAGCUGUUUUCCAAUUAUUGUACUAAACAGUUUGCAUAAUUUUCACAACAGUCUUAGAUACUAUUAUUCCUGUUUUACAGAUGAGAAAACUGAGGCUAAGAGAAAGCAAAUUUCUAAAGAUCCAAGAGCUAAUAAAUGGUGUAAUGCUUUAAAAUCAAUUUUCAACCUCUACUCUGUAAUGCCCCCCCAAAUAUGCUUGCAACUACCAGUUAUAGAGAUGUUGCUCAGUAAUGAGAUGUGAGAAUUGUGUUCUUUAGCAAAACAUAAUAAGGCAAAUGAAGUCUGCUUCAUUUACCCCCCCCCCCCCCCACCGCCAGCUGCAUCCCGUGGGUUGUUGAUUCUGUGCCAUGUGUUAGAAUGAGGAAACCUCAGGGUCUUAAGGAGGCUUUCUCCUUCUAAGUGCUGAUAGUUAUUUGUGGCUCAGUAUUAUCCAGACCCAGUGGGAAAAGGAGCAAAUACCUCUCUAAUUCCUUUCCUAUAUAAGGGACAAAUCCAUCCUGACCUGAUGGAAUCAUAGCUGCAAGUCAUAUAUGAUUUUUGGGCUAAAGUAGUUGGCAGAGGAGAGCGUUGACCCAGCCUCCUGGUUGUUCCCCAUUUACCAGAGUAUUUGCUCCGAGAGGCAACAUCACCACAGAGCAAGAUGCCCACUAUCGCACUUUCCCGGCAGCAAAGAAAAUGUGCUCAUCUCCAUUGUCUGCUGGCAUUUGAUUUGCUGUAACUGUGCUCUGUUCCCAAUUUAUCCUUUAUUAGCCUAUCUCAUGUUAUGUCUGACUUGUAAAACACCCCUGGUCUACACUCAGAGGUUUGACUUUGAAUCUUCAGCUAAGACAACUCGGCAGACAUACGCGGAACAUUUCCGUGUCCUCUUGGCAGCCAGCAGCACUUGCUGUGACAUUUCUCUGCACAUGGGGAGAUACAGCUGUCUCCAGUACCUGCUGUGAACCACUGCAUCAGCCUGUGUAGGAGAAUUCUCAUCUCUGAAUUCCUGUAGGACUUGCAGCCUGUAACACACUGGCUCACACUGACAUGUUCUCCAGCAGUUUCCUGUGUGAAGAGGCAGUGAGCGUGAGUGCAUCUCCUAGAGUCCCUGAAUCCAAGCAGGGCAACCGUGAGCUUAAUACAGAAAGGAAUGGAGUGAAGAGCAGGGCACAGGUGUGUGUCUGCCUUAUCUCCCAAAUUAGUUUGUCAGCUUCUCAGCCCAGAGACCAUAUCUGCUGUUCCUAUCUCCUUUAAUACUUUUUAGAAUAUUAGGCCAACAGUGAAUAAGUGCAUGCUUAUUUUCUGAAGCCCUAAGGUUUUAUUUUAAUUCAUAGAGUAUGCCCCAAAGAUACCAUUGCCAUGCACUUGCACUUAUGCAGCCCAAAGAAUGUAGUGUUUUCUGUAAAUGUUACUGAAAUGUUAUUUACAUUCAGUGAGUUGAAUGUAAAUGAGCUGAAGGUGAGUUGAAGGAAUCUCUAAAUUAGUUUUAGACUGGUCCCUCAGAGGACUGUAAUCCUCAUUUCAGAGGACAAACCCUAAACUGGUGUUGUAGUGACAAUAAUUACAACAACAGCAGUGUAUGUAGUUGGAAAGCAUAGGUAUUAUUCUGAGCAGAGUACCAACACUGAAAUCCUGAAAUGAGUAAAAUGCUGCACGGAAGGAAAGCUCAUUCUGAACAAGAGUCAUGGCAUUUGACCCCGAAGAGGAAUCAGCAGGUUCCCUGACUAGGAUUGGGAGGUGCACGCUGCAGUGCCACUUCACCUCUGCCAAUAUUAGGUGACCGUACAUUAGUGAUCUAUUUCUGGACCCUCUAUUCUGUUCCCUUAAGCAAUAAUACCUUUUUUCCUUCACUUAACUGUAUUGAUGGCAAUAGCUUUAUAGUGAGAUUUAAAAUCAGGUUAGUGGAGUCCUUCAGUUUUGGACUUCUUUCUUAAAAUUACUUUAUAGAACCUUUGCAUUUCCAUAUCCAUUUUAGAAUCAGAUUGUCUAAUUUGACAGAGAUGUCUGCUAGAAUUACUGGAAGUUCAUUAAGUCUAUAGAUUGAUUUGGGAAGAAUGGCCGCCUUCGCAAUGUUAAGUCUUCCACUUCAGCAUGGUCUAUCAUUUUUCCUCAGUCAAGUUUUAUCAUUUUAAAUAUAAAGAACUUAAUUUUCUUAUUUUUUUGGUAUUUGUUUUAUUGAGAUUACUGUAAAUGCAAUUUAUUUUCUUGUCCAAUUGUUUGCUGCUAGCAUACAAAAAUAUUUUUUAAUAUUAACCUUUUAUCUUGCAGCUUUGCUGAAUUUAUUUACUUGUUAUUGUUAUAUAAGUUCCUCGAGAUUUUCUAUGUAGGAAAAACCAUAUCCUCUGCAAAUAGUGCAGGCCACAAACUCUUACCUCACUGUUCCAGGGCCUCUUGUAGUGUAAGAAUCAUCGUCAUAGCUUGUUUAAGACUUAUUUUGAGCCAUGUGUUGCAUGCUAGUAAUUUACAAACGUUAGCUCAUUUAACCCUGCUAGUUUGUGUUUUUUAGAUGAGUAAAAUAAAGGUUAAUAAGCCAAGACACCCAAAUAAGUGGCAUAGCCAGUAUUGAUUCUGGCCAUCUAUGCCAUUGCUAGAACUCAGCAUUCCUGAGCAAAUAUAGUUCCUUCCCACAGAUGAAGAUGAACUGGCAUUUCACUAUUACUCAGUUUAUCCAGCAAAAACGAGAGUCCCUCACUCUUCCAAUGGGCACUCAUAUUACAUCUAAAGAUUGGGAAGUGAGUCAGGGAUGUAAUUUUAACCUUGGGCUUCUUUUAAAGUUCUUCAUUGUGAAACCUGAUCUAAUGAAUAAAGCUAAUCUUAGCAAACUGGUAAGGUAGAAAAUGUCGCAUUACUUUCAGAAUGUCUUUAGGUACUCCCACCCAAGUUUCCUGCUAAACUGUAAAAGGUUAAUUUAACUUCCUGAGGAAAUACCAUCAUCACCAGCCAACUAUUGAUAUAGGUCCGUUGCUCAAGGUGCUUCCUAUGUUACGAGAGCAAUCAUAUAAAUUAGACUUUAGGUUUUUAGAAGUCUUGAGUCAUGUUUGAUAUGUAUAGGUGCAUUCCAAAGAUAAAUAUAUAAAACCAUUUCCAUUGAAAGCCAGACAGGUUGUGGAUAGCUCCUCACGAGAAAAGAAUUACAAAGGAAAGUAGAAAAUAGACAACCUGCAUUCAGCAGGAAUCACUUCUAGGAUAAGAUAGAAUCCUAUAUGUAUUCAUUCAACUUAUUGAGCACCUACUAUGUGCCAAGUAUUAUUCUGGGCCUUGGAGAUAAAGCUAUGAAGAACACAGAUGAAUCCCAUCAUCUCUUAUAUCCUCAAGGACUCAUACCUGCAAUUGUCACUUUCCCCCCUCCUGCAUUAGUUUUAUCCUCUAUACAGUAUUAUUACCACCUGCACAUAUACCUGUAAGAGCCCACACAUUAAGGGAAAAACUCCUUUGACCUGAAGCCUCCUCUAGUUACCUCCCCAUUUCUCUGUACCCCUUUAAAGCAAAUUUACUCAACUGUCUAAACUCACUAUCUCUACUUCUUUUCCUCAUUCUCUUUUUAUACAUUCCAAUCAUGCUGCUGUACCCACUGCUUCUCUGAGAUUGCUCUUGUCUAAUGUCUCAUUACAUUUCGUAUUGCCAAAUCUACUGGCCAGUUCGUAGUCCUCAUCUUUCUUGUCUUCUCAGUAGUUGUCAAUUACUUUCUUUUUUUAAUAUUUUUAUUAUAGUUGAUUUACAAUGUUCUGUCAAUUUCUGCUAUACAGCAAAGUGACCCACUUAUACUGUACAUAUAUACAUUCUUUUUCUCAUAUUAUCUUCCAUCAUGUUCCAUCACAAGGGGUUGAAUAUAGUUCCUUGUACUGUACAGCAGGAUCACAUUGCUUAUCCAUUCCAAAUGCAAUAGUUUGCAUCUACUAACCCCAAACUCCCCUUCCCCCUUGGCAACCACAAGUCUGUUCUCCAUGUCCAUGAGUUUGUUUCUUUUUUGUAGAUAGGUUCAUCUGUGUCAUGUAUUAGAUUCCACUUAUAAGUGGUAUCAUAUGGUAUUCCACAUAUAAAUGAUAUCAUAUGGUAUUUGUCUUUCUCUUUUUAACUUACUUCACAUAGUAUGAGAACCUCUAGUUGCAUCCAUGUUGCUGCAAAUGGCAUUAUUUUGUUCUUUUUUAUGGCUGAGAAGUUUUCAUUGUGAUAUUCCACAUCUUAAUUCAUUCAUCUGUUGAUGGACAUUUAGUUUUGUGUCCAUGUCUUUCUUGACUAUUGUCAGUAGUGCUGCAGUGAACAUAGGGGUGCAUGUAUCUUUUUGAAUGAAAGUUUUUUCCAGAUAAUAUGCCCAGGAGUGGGACUGCUGGAUCAUAUGGUAUUUCUAUAUUUCACUUUCUGAGGUACCUCCAUACUGUUUUCCAUAGUGGUUGUACCAAUUUACAUUUCUACCAACAGUGUAGGAGGGUUCCCUUUUCUCCACACUCUCUCCAGCAUUUGUUAUUUGUAGACUUACUAAUUACAGCCAUUCUGAGAGGUGUGAGGUGGUACCUCGUAGUAUUGAUUUGCAUUUCUCUAAUAAUUAGUGAUGUUGAACAUUUUUUUCAUGUGCCUCUUGCCCAUUCCUAUGUCUUCUUUGGAGAAAUGUCUGUUUAGUUCUUCUACCCAUUUUUCAAUUGGGUUAUUUUUAUUUUUGCUAUUGAAUUGUAUGAGUUGUUUCUAUGUUUUAGAGAUUAAGCCCUUGUCAGUUGCAUCAUUUGCAAUUAUUUUCUACCAUUCUAUAGGUUGUUUUUUUCAUUUUUUUUUUUUUAUGGCUUCCUUUGCUGUGCAAAAGCUUUUAAGCUUGAUUAGGUCUCAUUUGGUGUAUUUUUGCUUUUAUUUCUAUUGCCUUGGAGACUGAGCUAAGAAAACAUUUGUAUGGUUAAUGUCAGGCAAAUUUCUAUUCCUCCUUGAAUGGAGACUGAGCUAUGGCUACCAGGACUCUUGGCUACCAGGACACUUGACUCUCUCAGUUUCCCUCCUGCCUCACUUACUACUCCUUCUCAACCUUCUUCCUUCAGUCCUUUUCUAAACUAUGGAGUGCUCUAGAGCUUAGUCCUUGAAGACCUUCUUCUUACUCUCUACACUCACCUCUGGGUGAAAGCAUUCUCUAAUCCCAUAGCCUCAAACGCCCUCUGAAAGCUGACGAUUCUGAGGCCUCUCUUCUGCCCUCCAGACUAAUAUACCCCAGCUGCCUACCCAGCAUCUCCAAUUGGAUAUCUACUAGGCAACUUAAACUCAAGUAUCCUAAAUCAAACUCCCCACCCCAAUGUUGGAUUCAUUUUGACUGCAUAUAACAAAAUACAGACACAUACAACUCGCCCCCUCAAAGAAACUAAGAAACAAAAAUUGCUUUGAUGAUACAGGAAUUUCUCUCACAAUUAAAAAAAAAAAACAAAAAAACACUGGCUCAGUGGUUAAUGAACCAGACUAGUAUCCGUGAGGACGUGGGUUCAAUCCCUGGCCUUGCUCAAUGGGUUAAGGAUCCAGCAUUGCCAUGAGCUAUGGUGUAGGUCACAGACACAGCUUGGAUCCUGCUUUGCUAUGGCUGUGGUAUAGGCCAGUGACUCCAGCUCCAAUUCAAUCCCUGGCCUGGGAACCUCCAUGUGCCUCAGGUAUGGCCCUAAAAAGGCAAAAGAAAAAAAAAAAAAAAAAAAA